rnacentral:rRNA from 1 species
CGGGGGGGCGCUAAACAUGCAGUCGAGCGAAUGGAUUAAGAGCUUGCUCUUAUGAAGUUAGCGGCGGACGGGUGAGUAACACGUGGGUAACCUGCCCAUAAGACUGGGAUAACUCCGGGAAACCGGGGCUAAUACCGGAUAACAUUUUGAACCGCAUGGUUCGAAAUUGAAAGGCGGCUUCGGCUGUCACUUAUGGAUGGACCCGCGUCGCAUUAGCUAGUUGGUGAGGUAACGGCUCACCAAGGCAACGAUGCGUAGCCGACCUGAGAGGGUGAUCGGCCACACUGGGACUGAGACACGGCCCAGACUCCUACGGGAGGCAGCAGUAGGGAAUCUUCCGCAAUGGACGAAAGUCUGACGGAGCAACGCCGCGUGAGUGAUGAAGGCUUUCGGGUCGUAAAACUCUGUUGUUAGGGAAGAACAAGUGCUAGUUGAAUAAGCUGGCACCUUGACGGUACCUAACCAGAAAGCCACGGCUAACUACGUGCCAGCAGCCGCGGUAAUACGUAGGUGGCAAGCGUUAUCCGGAAUUAUUGGGCGUAAAGCGCGCGCAGGUGGUUUCUUAAGUCUGAUGUGAAAGCCCACGGCUCAACCGUGGAGGGUCAUUGGAAACUGGGAGACUUGAGUGCAGAAGAGGAAAGUGGAAUUCCAUGUGUAGCGGUGAAAUGCGUAGAGAUAUGGAGGAACACCAGUGGCGAAGGCGACUUUCUGGUCUGUAACUGACACUGAGGCGCGAAAGCGUGGGGAGCAAACAGGAUUAGAUUCUUU